rnacentral:lncRNA from 1 species
GUGGUCCCAGAGUUGAAGACAGAAUUCACUGUGAGUUUCUCCUGUAGAAAUUGCUGCUGUGCAGUUAUGAUGGGAAGCAGAACUGUACCUCACAUUAUCAGAAUGAAAAAGCAAAAAGAAGCCAGAUGCCUGCUGCUCCUGAUCUCUUGUGUCUAUAGCCAGGUCAAACAGGGUGGUGGUGUGGUGUGCUGUGUGUGUUCCUAGAGCUGGAGCAGCUCACCUCCUCUGUGCUGGGAGCCAAGCUACGCCCACCUGGAAGCCUCCUCCUGCCUGGGAGCUGCUGUGCGCAGAUCUGGAAGCCUCCUCUAUGCUGGGAGAUGCGGGAUGCCCACAUAUUUUUACACUUUGACAAUGGCUUAAAUUAUGUCUUCCCUUGGGUCAGGGUGUGAACUUCUGAAUAAGAUGUCUUUCCAAGUCAUCAUAAACUAUAGAGAUGUUUAAUAUUACAAUGCCUUUGUAACUACUGCUUCUGGGUAGAAAUGUUGGAUGCAGUAGUUCUAAAAGAAAGAGAAGUGGAUUAUACAGGGUGUAACACUAACCUAUCUCCUUUAGCUUACACAUCUAUGUUUUAAUUGGAUUCAGUGUCAAUAUUAGGAAUGCUUCUAAAACUUUUGAGUGCUAUAUAAUUGCAUUUAUUUUUAUUGAUCAAAAUAAAUUAUUUCAAAAAUGUUUUUAAAGGGUAAUGAAGCAAGUGACCAUACUUCAAUAAACUAAUUUUAGGAUUUA